UCCGCCCGGUCCAUGGNCNAAGCCUGACGGAGCAAUGCCGCGUGAGUGAUGAAGGUUUUCGGAUCGUAAAGCUCUGUUGCCAGGGAAGAACGCUUGGGAGAGUAACUGCUCUCAAGGUGACGGUACCUGAGAAGAAAGCCCCGGCUAACUACGUGCCAGCAGCCGCGGUAAUACGUAGGGGGCAAGCGUUGUCCGGAAUUAUUGGGCGUAAAGCGCGCGCAGGCGGUCAUUUAAGUCUGGUGUUUAAUCCCGGGGCUCAACCCCGGAUCGCACUGGAAACUGGGUGACUUGAGUGCAGAAGAGGAGAGUGGAAUUCCACGUGUAGCGGUGAAAUGCGUAGAUAUGUGGAGGAACACCAGUGGCGAAGGCGACUCUCUGGGCUGUAACUGACGCUGAGGCGCGAAAGCGUGGGGAGCAAACAGGAUUAGAUACCCUAGUAGUCA
rnacentral:rRNA from 1 species